rnacentral:rRNA from 1 species
UGAGUAACACGUAUCCAACCUGCCGUCUACUCUUGGACAGCCUUCUGAAGGAGGAUUAAUACAAGAUGGCAUCAUGAGUCCGCAUGUUCACAUGAUUAAAGGUAUUCCGGUAGACGAUGGGGAUGCGUUCCAUUAGAUAGUAGGCGGGGUAACGGCCCACCUAGUCUUCGAUGGAUAGGGGUUCUGAGAGGAAGGUCCCCCACAUUGGAACUGAGACACGGUCCAA